UCCCAUGCUGAAGGAAAUAUCAUUGCAAAACUUCUUUUUUUACAUAUACUUGAAAAUCCGUGGAGCUUUUAUGUUCGUUUCAUACGCACAGGCACAGAUGUGAGCAUGUUGCUGCAAGACCGGCUCUUGAACAUUUCAUCGAAUACCUAUAGGGCGCCUCAGCUUGUAGCAAGUGCAGAUCCUCUCCACGGUUGUCUCGACGCGAGCGGCAGCGCCACCUAUGCACUUUGCGCUCUCCUCGUCGCCGUGACGCUGCACCCCGGCGCCCGGCUACUCCUCAAACUCCUCGUCGAGCCCCC
rnacentral:lncRNA from 1 species